rnacentral:antisense_RNA from 1 species
ACUCCUCGGCGCACCGCCCCGCGACCGAGCUCCGCCCUCAUCUGCGCGGCCCCUCACCUUCCCGCCGGGCCUCCUCGAGGAACUGGCGGCCGUCAGUCAGGGCGCAGAUGGCCGCAGAAGCGCGCCGCAGACACCCGCCGCGCCAGCCACUUCCCCCUAGAGGAGAGGGGUCUCUCCCGCCACCUCAGCCUCUCUGGUGGUGGAAGAAGCCGCCGGUCCAGAUCCCUCCUGCUUGUGGGACCGCUGUUUCCCUGGCAACCAGAUGCGCGAUGCUUCCGGUCUCGCGAUAGCGGAAAGGGCUGUACCAUCCGGAAAUGGGACCGGGGCCGGCGGCUGUUGGAGCCGUGCGAGCUGGGACGGCCGGCGUGUGUCCUUCCGUCUUCGCUGCCGACGGUGGGGGUUGGGAGCGAUUUGUUCGUCUUUAGGUUGGAUUGGGAACGGGGACGUCUGGAUGCUUGUGUAUCUCUGUCCCUCAUAUUGCUGUGAUGCCUUACAUGUCAGUUAUCCUCUCCGAGCACAGUUUCCUCCUCCGUAAAAUGGGAACAAUAAUAAUUCCCUUCUUACAAGACUUGUGCAGCUCAAAAAGACCAUGUAUGUGAAGCUCUAGUAAAUUUGGGGUGCUAUGGAAAUUUUAAAAAUAUGAGUUUUGCACAGAUUCGGCUACAGUCCAAAAAGAGUUAUAAUUGCUUUUUGCACCUUCUUUCAUUUCGUAGUUUCUCUAAUUCUCAGUGCACGAAAAUUAUUUCCCUACGUCCACAAACUGAUUUUCCUCACCUCCAUUGCCAUCAUUUCUCCUGCUUUCCAGUCUGAACAGCACGUUACCGUUUACAGGGCAUUUUCACAUUCAUGGCCCCUUUGUCCUCAUUGUUUUAACUAGGUACGAUGUGGUUUUUUUCAGCGAAGCAAAUAGUCAUAGGCUGAGUUGCCGAAAGAACACAGCUGCAGUCUAGGCCAGUGCUGGGUAUAAAAACCUGGCUAUAAAUGCCAUCCCUAUGCUCCUGAAUCCUGCAUCUUAUCACCAGCCCAGACUUCCCUGAACUCCAGACUCCUUUACCUAACUGCCUAUUUGGCAUAUCCACUUAGAUGUGUAAGCAUCUCAAACUUAACACGGGAAAAAACAACUUCUCCAGAGUCCCCCACCCACUUUCUAUCCAUCUCAGCAAAUGGUAAUUUCAGCCUGCCAUGCCUAGACCAAAAACCUUGGAGUCAUCCUCAAUUCUUCUUUCUCUCUCACUCUACAAUCAAUUUGUCCUGUCAGCUCAGCAUUCAAAAUAUAUUCAGAAUCCAAACAUUCGUCACAACUUCAGUGCUUCCAUUCAGGUUCAUACUGACAUCAUCUCUAAAUGAUAAGGCUUUCUGUUGGCUCUCUGACCUCCAUUCCUACCUACUGCUUUCCCCUGGUAAACCUGGUUCCAGGCUCACUGUCCUCAUUGUUAGUGUUUCUGUGCAGGGGUUUCUUCCCAGCAUUUCUCAGGGAAUUUAUGUGGCUUUCCAAAUCUCAAAAGAAAAAAAGUUGCAAACUGAAGAAAAUGGGAGAAAGUAUCCUAAUUCUCCUAUGAGAAUUAAAACUUAGCAGCCAACCUAGAGAUGUUACUGAAGAAAUUCACCAAUGUCAAGUUGAAAACCAGCGCAGGAAAUGCUGAGUUCGAGGUUGAGGUGAACAUUUUCAGGAACCAGGACAGGAGCACUUGGGAGAAACAUGGCCACAGUCUCAUCAGUCAGUCUUGUUUGUAGUUGGUGCCAUGUAAGCCUGUGUUCCUGGCCCUGUGUGCUGCUGGCAGUGAGUCAUUCUUGCAAAUAAAAUAUAAAUAGGUUGAUACUCAUUGUAUACUUCAUACAAAUUCUAUGAGCAGUGUUCAAAAAAGUAACGGGUUUUGGAUUCAAAGUAAAUCCUUAAAUUGGCAGUUUCCAACCCAUGAUUCUGGGUAGUACAGUUAACCCUGCUAGGAGAUCUAUUAUUUGAAUACUACUCUAUAAUGUUCUCUGUGUUUUCCACUAUUUGAAUAUUUGCUAUAAACUCCAGUUCUUGUAAACACUUCUAAAUUUAAUAGUUCUCAUUUUUUAACAAAGGCUUCAGAUACUUGUAAUAAUGAGUAAAGAAGAUGAAGAAGGUAGGGAAUAUUUUAAGAAUAAGAUUUUGAGAACAGCUGGUAUUUCUGAUUUCCUGUUUCUGCAUCCCAAAGAUCAGUAUCUGUCAGGAAUUUGGAAACACUUGUUGUUCCUCCAAUCCAAAUAAUCACGCACACACACCAGCCUGAAAUAUAGUUUCCCAGCUAUCCACGUGGUUUGCUCCUCUCUUUCCUCAGGCAUCCGCUUCCUCAGGAGGGCCUUUCCCAACCACCCUAUGUAAAAUAAUUAUCCCCAUCUCCACACACCCCACCCUCUCUCUCCCCAACCCUGCUUUAUUUUUUUAUGAAGAAGAGAGAUGACAUUAUUUGGAUUUUGAUACUAAACAGCUAGGUUAUCUUAGGUAAAUACAUAAGCUUUUGUGGGCCACAGUUUCUUCAUUUGAAAAAUGAAGCUGGACUAGUUUUGCAGUGCUUAACUGCACAGAGCAUUAGAAUCACCUGGGGAGACUUCAUAAACUACACAACCAGGGGUGCACCUGAGAUCAAAUGAAUCUAGGGCUUCUCAACUUUAAUAUGCAGACACAUCACCGAGGAAUCUUGUUAAAAAUGCUGAUUCAAAAAAAAAAAAUACUGGUUCAGUAUCAGGUGAGACCCGAGAUUAACAGGCUCCUAGAUGAUGCCAAUGCUCCCCGUCCACCGACCGCUGUUUACCUAGCGGCAAGACGAGAUCAUUGCCAAGUGCCUGCACGGUUCUCAUACACCAUAAACGAAGGCCAUUCUUUCUGGUUUUUAAUUUGGUGAAUAAUAGUGUCCACUAAGAAAACAAUACCUUCCCAAUUUCUUGUGGGGGAAGGGGCUGAACUAAGAAAAAGCAGACCUAUGAUUACUGCUGUUUUCAUUUUUUUAACUGUUGCUUUUAAAAUGCAACAUAAGAUGCAUAUAAAGCAAGUGAAAAUAAAAUUCGGGUUCCACGUAAA